rnacentral:pre_miRNA from 1 species
AAUCACCUGUCGAACUACCGCAGUUCGACAAGUACCCUAUCGAACUAUGGUUGUUCGAUAGGUACCGUAUCGAACCACGGUUGUUCGAUAGGGUG